rnacentral:rRNA from 1 species
AUUGAACGCUGGCGGCAUGCCUUACACAUGCAAGUCGAACGGUAACGGGUCCUUCGGGAUGCCGACGAGUGGCGAACGGGUGAGUAAUAUAUCGGAACGUGCCCAGUAGUGGGGGAUAACUGCUCGAAAGAGCAGCUAAUACCGCAUACGACCUGAGGGUGAAAGGGGGGGAUCGCAAGACCUCUCGCUAUUGGAGCGGCCGAUAUCAGAUUAGCUAGUUGGUGGGGUAAAGGCCUACCAAGGCAACGAUCUGUAGUUGGUCUGAGAGGACGACCAGCCACACUGGGACUGAGACACGGCCCAGACUCCUACGGGAGGCAGCAGUGGGGAAUUUUGGACAAUGGGCGCAAGCCUGAUCCAGCAAUGCCGCGUGCAGGAAGAAGGCCUUCGGGUUGUAAACUGCUUUUGUCAGGGAAGAAAUCUUCUGGGCUAAUACCCCGGGAGGAUGACGGUACCUGAAGAAUAAGCACCGGCUAACUACGUGCCAGCAGCCGCGGUAAAAC